rnacentral:rRNA from 1 species
UACGUAGGGGGCAAGCGUUAUCCGGAUUUACUGGGUGUAAAGGGAGCGUAGACGGUAGGGUAAGUCAGAUGUGAAAGCCCGGGGCUCAACCCCGGGACUGCAUUUGAAACUAUCCGACUAGAGUGCAGGAGAGGUAAGUGGAAUUCCUAGUGUAGCGGUGAAAUGCGUAGAUAUUAGGAGGAACACCAGUGGCGAAGGCGGCUUACUGGACUGUAACUGACGUUGAGGCUCGAAAGCGUGGGGAGCAAACAGG